rnacentral:rRNA from 1 species
UACGUAGGGUGCAAGCGUUAAUCGGAAUUACUGGGCGUAAAGCGUGCGCAGGCGGCUUUGCAAGACAGAUGUGAAAUCCCCGGGCUCAACCUGGGAACUGCAUUUGUGACUGCAAGGCUAGAGUACGGCAGAGGGGGAUGGAAUUCCGCGUGUAGCAGUGAAAUGCGUAGGUAUGCGGAGGAACACCAAUGGCGAAGGCAAUCCCCUGGGCCUGUACUGACGCUCAUGCACGAAAGCGUGGGGAGCAAACAGG